CACAGUAUUAUCGGGGGGUCGGCAAGCCGAUGCGUGCAAGCGCUCUGUUUCUGGCCCUGUCUGGUUCUACCCAUGUUUUUUGCGUACCUCUGUUUCCUCGGCAGGCUUGCCUGCCGAUAGGACACUACCAACCCAUUGCAAUAGAAGUCAGCGUCAGAAAAACGUAAUAAUUA
rnacentral:misc_RNA from 1 species